rnacentral:rRNA from 1 species
ACGCUCGACACCUACGGUAGGCAGCAGUCGGGAAUAUAGCGCAAUGGAGGAAACUCUGACGCAGUGACGCCGCGUGCAGGAAGAAGGUUUUCGGAUUGUAAACUGCUUUAGACAGGGAAGAAAGAAAUGACAGUACCUGUAGAAUAAGCUCCGGCUAACUACGUGCUAGCAGCCGCGGUAAUCUGAGCGGGCUGGCAAGGC